AUAGCUCAUUUGGUUAGAGCGUGGUGCUGAUAACACCAAGGUCGUGGGUUUGAUCCCCGUU
rfam:Apaloderma vittatum contig45772, whole genome shotgun sequence.